GAACGAGUUCUCGUUGAUGAUCGGUGCUUGCACCGAGAUUCAACAUGGAACGAGUGGCGGACGGGUGAGUAACACGUGGGUAACCUGCCCUUAAGUGGGGGAUAACAUUUGGAAACAGAUGCUAAUACCGCAUAGAUCCAAGAACCGCAUGGUUCUUGGCUGAAAGAUGGCGUAAGCUAUCGCUUUUGGAUGGACCCGCGGCGUAUUAGCUAGUUGGUGAGGUAAUGGCUCACCAAGGCGAUGAUACGUAGCCGAACUGAGAGGUUGAUCGGCCACAUUGGGACUGAGACACGGCCCAAACUCCUACGGGAGGCAGCAGUAGGGAAUCUUCCACAAUGGACGCAAGUCUGAUGGAGCAACGCCGCGUGAGUGAAGAAGGCUUUCGGGUCGUAAAACUCUGUUGUUGGAGAAGAAUGGUCGGCAGAGUAACUGUUGUCGGCGUGACGGUAUCCAACCAGAAAGCCACGGCUAACUACGUGCCAGCGGCCGCGGUAAUACGUAGGUGGCAAGCGUUAUCCGGAUUUAUUGGGCGUAAAGCGAGCGCAGGCGGUUUUUUAAGUCUGAUGUGAAAGCCCUCGGCUUAACCGAGGAAGCGCAUCGGAAACUGGGAAACUUGAGUGCAGAAGAGGACAGUGGAACUCCAUGUGUAGCGGUGAAAUGCGUAGAUAUAUGGAAGAACACCAGUGGCGAAGGCGGCUGUCUGGUCUGUAACUGACGCUGAGGCUCGAAAGCAUGGGUAGCGAACAGGAUUAGAUACCCUGGUAGUCCAUGCCGUAAACGAUGAAUGCUAGGUGUUGGAGGGUUUCCGCCCUUCAGUGCCGCAGCUAACGCAUUAAGCAUUCCG
rnacentral:rRNA from 1 species